rnacentral:lncRNA from 1 species
CUCAGAGGAAUCCCAUUCCUACCUUGAUCGGGGAUGUUUAUUAUUCGGUCCAUAAUCGGAACGAGAAGCGGCGUGGAGGAUUGAUUAGAUGUUGUGCUCAAGGCCAUCCGGGUGUUUGCUCAGAGGAAUCCCAUUCCUACCUUGAUCGGGGAUGUUUAUUAUUCGGUCCAUAAUCGGAACGAGAAGCGGCGUGGAGGAUUGAUUAGAUGUUGUGCUCAAUUGUUAUAUAAGUGGUUCAUGGGAU